AGUGGUUUUUUCAUCAUCAGCAGAAAAAUUAAUUUUCAAGCUCAAAUAUUUGAGGAAAAGUCUAAAAUCGUUCAACAAGAAUGGAUCAAUCUCAGGAUGCUAGCUUCCAAGCUGGACAGACUAUGGGCCAAGCUCAGGAGAAGGGAAACCAGAUGAUGGACAAGGCUUGCAAUGCUGCCAAUUCCGCAACCGAAUCCUGUAAAGAGACUAGUCAGCAAGUAAAGGCUAAAGCACAGGAUAUGACUGAAGCUGUUAAGAGCAAAGUUGGAGCAAACAAAUGAAAAAUUUACUAUAUUUAUUUUUAUUAUUUUGCUUCAGUCUGUGCAGUUUUUACUGCCUUCAUUUUUUUGUUUUCUUUCCAAUUUUCAUAAAUCAAUGAGAACUUUUGAUUUGUAAGUCAUAAGUGGGAUAUAUUUGGUACAAUUCUUGUUUAUUGGAUAAGGAUUUUAAUAUAAGAUGGAUAGAAAAUCGGCUUAUUGUUCUUGAUAGAAAAA